rnacentral:rRNA from 1 species
AGACGGAGGGUGCUAGCGUUGUUGGGAAUGACUGGGCGUAAAGGGCGCGUAGGCGGUUUUGUUAGUCAGGCGUGAAAGCCCUGGGCUCAACCCAGGAACUGCGUUUGAUACUGCAAAACUUGAGGACGGAAGAGGAAAGUGGAAUUCCUAGUGUAGAGGUGAAAUUCGUAGAUAUUAGGAGGAACACCAGAGGCGAAGGCGGCUUUCUGGUCCGUUACUGACGCUGAGGCGCGAAAGCGUGGGGAGCAAACAGGAUUAGAUACCCCAGUAGUCC